AAGGGCUAGUAAUGCCGAUACACAGAUACCAUUAUACCAAAGAAAUCUCUAGAGAUAAACACCAUUGUUCAAAUUCAAAAGCCAGAUUUUCGGUAAUUUCUUGUAGUAGAUAUCCAAAAAGAGGAUGGACGGUUUGGUUACCCAUUCAUUCUUUAUUCAUUUUCAAUCAAUUCUUUUAUUUUCAAGAAUCACAAUUUCCUUUUCUCCUUCUUAUCUCAAAAUCUUUCGUUUGCAAAUUUAACAUAAAAGUAAAUAUAUUUAACUUUUUUUUUUUUUUAUAAAUCAUAUUUGUCGAUGCCCUUCUGUUGCGUUGACUUGACAGACUCGUGACCUCCAAAGGAGUGCCACCACCGCCGUCGUUGAUGAUGAAGAUUCCGGCUAGUAUUCCGGUAGAAAACCGCCGUUAACCGGCAGAAAAGGUUGCCGAAACGAGCAUUCAGAUAUGCAGAUGUAUACACACACUAUGUGAACGAUGAUAACACAUACAGAUGCAGCAAAUAUGAGAGGUUGUAAUGAUGUGUACCUGGUGUGAUGAACAGAAAAUGUUGUGAAUAUCGAAGCAACGAAUCGGUGAUGUUGUCAGGGAUAUGAAACACCGAUUCCUUGUGAUUGCUUGUAGAUUAUCGGCCAAAUCGUAGUGAAGAGUCUAGUCGUGCUGAUAACGUGAUAAAAACUAAUCUGACUAAUGUGGAAAUUGUAUUGAAUCUUGAAUAUUAUUCCCAUACUCCAUUACAAAUCUCUA